AUUCCAGCUCCAAUAGCGUAUAUUAAAGUUGUUGCAGUUAAAAAGCUCGUAGUUGGAUUUCGGAAUGGGUCAAUUGGUCCGCCGCAAGGUGAGUUACUGGUUGGUCUGUUCUUCUUCGCAAAGACUGCGUAUGCACUUUAUUGGGUGUGCGUAGGAUUUACGACGUUUACUUUGAAAAAAUUAGAGUGUUCAAAGCAGGCUAUCGCUUGAAUACAUGAGCAUGGAAUAAUGGAAUAGGACUUUGGUCUUAUUUUAUUGGUUUCUGAGACCGAAGUAAUGAUUAACAGGGACAGUCAGGGGCACUCGUAUUCCGCCGAGAGAGGUGAAAUUCUCAAACCAGCGGAAGACGAACCACUGCGAAAGCAUUUGCCAGGGAUGUUUUCAUCA
rnacentral:rRNA from 1 species